GACGAACGCUGGCGGCGUGCUUAACACAUGCAAGUCGAGCGGUAAGGCCCUUUCGGGGGUACACGAGCGGCGAACGGGUGAGUAACACGUGGGUGACCUGCCCUCAGCUCUGGGAUAAGCCUGGGAAACUGGGUCUAAUACUGGAUAUGACUCCACGGUGCAUGUCGUGGGGUGGAAAGCCUUGUGCGGCUGAGGAUGGGCCCGCGGCCUAUCAGCUUGUUGGUGGGGUGANGGCCUACCAAGGCGACGACGGGUAGCCGGCCUGAGAGGGCGACCGGCCACACUGGGACUGAGACACGGCCCAGACUCCUACGGGAGGCAGCAGUGGGGAAUCUUGCGCAAUGGGCGAAAGCCUGACGCAGCGACGCCGCGUGAGGGAUGACGGCCG
rnacentral:rRNA from 1 species